GACGAACGCUGGCGGCGUGCUUAACACAUGCAAGUCGAACGGAAAGGCCCUGCUUUUGUGGGGUGCUCGAGUGGCGAACGGGUGAGUAACACGUGAGUAACCUGCCCUUGACUUUGGGAUAACUUCAGGAAACUGGGGCUAAUACCGGAUAGGAGCUCCUGCUGCAUGGUGGGGGUUGGAAAGUUUCGGCGGUUGGGGAUGGACUCGCGGCUUAUCAGCUUGUUGGUGGGGUAGUGGCUUACCAAGGCUUUGACGGGUAGCCGGCCUGAGAGGGUGACCGGCCACACUGGGACUGAGAUACGGCCCAGACUCCUACGGGAGGCAGCAGUGGGGAAUAUUGCACAAUGGGCGGAAGCCUGAUGCAGCGACGCCGCGUGAGGGAUGACGGCCUUCGGGUUGUAAACCUCUUUCAGCAGGGACGAAGCGUAAGUGACGGUACCUGCAGAAGAAGCGCCGGCCAACUACGUG
rnacentral:rRNA from 1 species